rnacentral:rRNA from 3 species
UUGGACCUGAUAUCAGGUUUAAGUUAA